GAUGAACGCUGGCGGCGUGCCUAAUACAUGCAAGUCGAGCGAACAGACGAGGAGCUUGCUCCUCUGACGUUAGCGGCGGACGGGUGAGUAACACGUGGAUAACCUACCUAUAAGACUGGGAUAACUUCGGGAAACCGGAGCUAAUACCGGAUAAUAUAUUGAACCGCAUGGUUCAAUAGUGAAAGACGGUUUUGCUGUCACUUAUAGAUGGAUCCGCGCCGCAUUAGCUAGUUGGUAAGGUAACGGCUUACCAAGGCAACGAUGCGUAGCCGAACUGAGAGGGUGAUCGGCCACACUGGAACUGAGCCACGGUCCAGACUCCUACGGGAGGCAGCAGUAGGGAAUCUUACGCAAUGGGCGAAAGCCUGACGGAGCAACGCCGCGUGAGUGAUGAAGGUCUUCGGAUCGUAAAACUCUGUUAUUAGGGAAGAACAACUGUGUAAGUAACUAUGCACGUCUUGACGGUACCUAAUCAGAAAGCAACGGCUAACUACGUG
rnacentral:rRNA from 1 species